ensembl:lncRNA
CUCUAUAGCAAAGGGGGAGCGCAUUGAGUAUUAUAGUCAACGAUAUCAUAACGUGCUUAUCGAAAUAUAUAACAGAAAAUAUAUUUUCACACGCGUUCCCUUUUAUAAAACUGUUGAACGAUUUGUAUGUCUAUUCAAAGAGAAACAUCUCCUUCAAGACAAAUACAUUUCUUCCUCACCUGGAAUUACAAAUGAAAAAUGUAGGCAUGAUCAAUUAUUUUCCGGGAAUAACGGUAAUCCAGCGUUGGUGAAUGGACAACUAAGAGAACCGAAACAUGGUGACGGCAGCAUCUAAAGAAGGAUCAUCUGUAUUGCCCUUCUGAAUACAACCAGCGACACGCAGUGCCAGUAUAGAAUAGGUAAAGAAAUUGAAGAAGACUGUGAAAGCCAAGGGCAAAGAACUAAAGGAACUGAAGGAACCUCAAACCAGGAUUACAUCAGUACCGCUUUGUUUGCCAGUUGAAACCACCAGAGGAACGUUCUCCCCUGCUUUUGAUCCAGAGGAUGUUUGCUAAUUACAACAGACUUUUCUGACGGAUUUUGGAUCUUAAUUUUUUCCUUUCUUAUCCUGUUCUGUUUCAAGCGAGACCAAAACCAGUGCAAACAAACUGUGCCAAGAAAAAGGCAACAAAAGGAAUGACAUCAAUGAAACAUUCAAAAAGUACCAUUUAUCAUUCAUACCUUUUAUUUCAGGUAGGGUUAUAUAGAGCUCACACAGUGUUCAUAUUCAAUAUCCAACUACAAUUUUUUUAUUAAUCUUCCCAACACUUUAAAAACACAUUUCAGAUCCCCAAUUGACAUUAAAAAAAAAACAUUGAAACCA